rnacentral:misc_RNA from 1 species
CGUGGGCUACAAGAAGAUG